rnacentral:lncRNA from 1 species
ACUGAGAUUACAUAUAGAUAGAAUGCCUUCCAAUGUAAGGGAGGCUCACCAACUUUGAACUCAUGAAACAAUCUACUGCUGCUGCAUUGGACCGCAAGACUAAGCCUCAGAUCCUACAUUAUAAGAUAAUGUAGCCGCCACGAAGGACGGUCAAUACCUGAAAUGUAUUGAUAUACAGAACUAACAAAAAACAACAUAUAUUUUAUAUAAAAUAGUCGAGAGCAUUAAGAAAACAAUUUAUCAUAAUAGGUAUCAAAACACAUUGGCAUAAUUCAGUGAGCUUCAGAACAUCCUUGUAAGUUAUGACUCAACUCUUUGUUUUACUUCUG